CCGGAGCUAAUAGCAGAUGAUGCAGCGGCUUGACAUCAAGACAGUUGUUAAGGCUUCGGCGCCUGAAGAUGAGCCUGCGUCUGAUUAGCUAGUUGGCGGAGUAAUAGCCCACCAAGGCGACGAUCAGUAACUGGUCUGAGAGGAUGAUCAGUCACACUGGAACUGAGACACGGUCCAGACUCCUACGGGAGGCAGCAGUAAGGAAUAUUGCUCAAUGGGGGAAACCCUGAAGCAGCAACGCCGCGUGAGGGAUGAAGGGCUUUUGCUUGUAAACCUCUGUAGUGAGGGAAAAAAUUUCCACUCUGUGGAAUAUGAUGGUACCUCAAAAGUAAGCCCCGGCUAACUACGUG
rnacentral:rRNA from 1 species